rnacentral:rRNA from 1 species
GACGAACGCUGGCGGCGUGCUUAACACAUGCAAGUCGAACGGAAAGGCCCUGCUUUUGUUGGGUUCUCGAGUGGCGAACGGGUGAGUAACACGUGAGUAACCUGCCCUUGACUUUGGGAUAACUUCAGGAAACUGGGGCUAAUACCGGAUAGGAGCUCCUGCUGCAUGGUGGGGGUUGGAAAGUUUCGGCGGUUGGGGAUGGACUCGCGGCUUAUCAGCUUGUUGGUGGGGUAGUGGCUUACCAAGGCUUUGACGGGUAGCCGGCCUGAGAGGGUGACCGGCCACAUUGGGACUGAGGUACGGCCCAGACUCGUACGGGAGGCAGCAGUGGGGAAUAUUGCAGAAUGGGCGGAAGCCUGAUGCAGCAACGCCGCGUGCGGGAUGACGGCCUUCGGGUUGUAAACCGCUGUCGCCUGUGACGAAGCGUGAGUGACGGUAAUGGGUAAAGAAGCACCGGCUAACUACGUG